rnacentral:rRNA from 1 species
UACGUAGGGGGCGAGCGUUGUCCGGAUUUACUGGGCGUAAAGAGCGCGCAGGCGGUCGUAUAAGUCGGAUGUGAAAGCCCCUGGCUCAACUAGGGAGAGUCAUUCGAUACUGUUCGACUCGAAGGCAGGAGAGGGAAGUGGAAUUCCGGGUGUAGUGGUGAAAUGCGUAGAUAUCCGGAGGAACACCAGUGGCGAAGGCGACUUUCUGGCCUGUUCUUGACGCUGAGGCGCGAAAGCUAGGGGAGCAAACGGG